rnacentral:rRNA from 1 species
UGGGGAAUAUUGCACAAUGGGCGCAAGUCUGAUGCAGCCAUGCCGCGUGUGUGAAGAAGGCCUUCGGGUUGUAAAGCACUUUCAGCGGGGAGGAAGGCGUUAAGGUUAAUAACCUUGGCGAUUGACGUUACCCGCAGAAGAAGCACCGGCUAACUCCGUGCCAGCAGCCGCGGUAAUACGGAGGGUGCAAGCGUUAAUCGGAAUUACUGGGCGUAAAGCGCACGCAGGCGGUCUGUCAAGUCGGAUGUGAAAUCCCCGGGCUCAACCUGGGAACUGCAUUCGAAACUGGCAGGCUAGAGUCUUGUAGAGGGGGGUAGAAUUCCAGGUGUAGCGGUGAAAUGCGUAGAGAUCUGGAGGAAUACCGGUGGCGAAGGCGGCCCCCUGGACAAAGACUGACGCUCAGGUGCGAAAGCGUGGGGAGCAAACAGG